AUUGAACGCUGGCGGCAGGCCUAACACAUGCAAGUCGAACGAGUGGCGGAGGGGUGAGUAAUGUCUGGGAAACUGCCAGAUGGAGGGGGAAAACUACUGGAAACGGUAGCAAAUACCGCAUACUAUCGGAUGCACACAGAUGGGAUUAGCUAGUAGGGGGGGUAAAGGCUCACCGAGGCGACGAUCCCUAGCUGGUCUGAGAGGAUGACCAGCCACACGGGAACUGAGACACGGUCCAGACUCCUACGGGAGGCAGCAGUGGGGAAUAUUGCACAAUGGGCGCAAGCCUGAUGCAGCCAUGCCGCGUGUAUGAAGAAGGCCUUCGGGUUGUAAAGUACUUUCAGCGGGGAGGCGUUACCCGCAGAAGAAGCACCGGCUAACUCCGUGCCAGCAGCCGCGGUAAUAC
rnacentral:rRNA from 1 species